rnacentral:rRNA from 1 species
UAAUUCCCCGGGUGUCCCCGCCGUAAACCAUGAAUGGUAAGUGUUAGGCCCUUUCCGGGGCUUAGUGCCGAAGCUAACGCAUUAAGCACUCCGCCUGGGGAGUACGACCGCAAGGUUGAAACUCAAAGGAAUUGACGGGGGCCCGCACAAGCGGUGGAGCAUGUGGUUUAAUUCGAAGCAACGCGAAGAACCUUACCAGGUCUUGACAUCCCUAUGCUAUUCCUAGAGAUAGGAAUUUUCUUCCGAACAUCGAUGACAGGUGGUGCAUGGUUGUCGUCAGCUCGUGUCGUGAGAUGUUGGGUUAAGUCCCGCAACGAGCGCCACCCCUAUAGUUAGUUGCCAUCAUUUAGUUGGGCACUCUAGCGAGACUGCCGGUGACAACCGGAGGAAGGUGGGGAUGACGUCAAAUCAUCAUGCCCCUUAUGACCUGGGCUACACACGUGCUACAAUGGUUGGUACAACGAGUUGCGAGACCGUGACGUGGAGCUAAUCUCUUAAAACCAAUCUCAGUUCGGAUUGUAGGCUGCAACUCGCCUACAUGAAGUUGGAAUCGCUAGUAAUCGCGGAUCAACAUGCGCGGUG